rnacentral:RNase_P_RNA from 1 species
AGAGUCGAUCGGACAGUCGCUGUUUCGUUGCUUGGCAACGAAAGGGAGGAAAGUCCGGGCUCCAUAGGGCAAAGUGCCAGGUAACUCCUGGGAGGCGUGAGCUUACGGAUAGUGCCGCAGAAAAUUACCGCCUAAGCACGCAAGUGCCGGUAAGGGUGAAAAGGUGCGGUAAGAGCGCACCGCACGGCUGGUAACAGUCCGUGGCUAGGCAAACCCCACUUGGAGCAAGACCAAAUAGGGAUCCAUUAGGCGUGGCCCGCG